UACGUAGGGGGCUAGCGUUGUCCGGAAUCAUUGGGCGUAAAGCGCGCGUAGGCGGCCCGGUAAGUCCGUUGUGAAAGUCAAAGGCUCAACCUUUGAAAGCCGAUGGAUACUGCCGGGCUAGAGUCCGGAAGAGGCGAGUGGAAUUCCUGGUGUAGCGGUGAAAUGCGCAGAUAUCAGGAGGAACACCAAUUGCGAAGGCAGCUCGCUGGGACGUUACUGACGCUGAGACGCGAAAGCGUGGGGAGCAAACAGG
rnacentral:rRNA from 1 species